rnacentral:rRNA from 1 species
UACGUAGGGUGCGAGCGUUAAUCGGAAUUACUGGGCGUAAAGCGUGCGCAGGCGGUUUUGUAAGCCAGGUGUGAAAUCCCCGGGCUCAACCUGGGAAUGGCAUUUGGGACUGCAAGGCUGGAGUGCGGCAGAGGAGACUGGAAUUCCUGGUGUAGCAGUGAAAUGCGUAGAUACCAGGAGGAACACCGAUGGCGAAGGCAGGUCUCUGGGCUGACACUGACGCUCAUGCACGAAAGCGUGGGGAGCAAACAGG